UACGAAGGGUGCAAACGUUGCUCGGAAUUAUUGGGCGUAAAGCGCACGUAGGCGGCUUAGCAAGUCGGAAGUGAAAUCCCUCGGCUCAACUGGGGAGGGUCAUUCGAUACUGAUCGACUCGAAGGCAGGAGAGGGUAGUGGAAUUCCCGGUGUAGUGGUGAAAUGCGUAGAUAUCGGGAGGAACACCAGUGGCGAAGGCGACUACCUGGCCUGUUCUUGACGCUGAGGCGCGAAAGCUAGGGGAGCAAACGGG
rnacentral:rRNA from 1 species